CCCCCUCAGACUCGAACUUAAAUUUGACAGUGAACCAUGACAAUCCUCUGUCAACAAAAGGUGCAAGAGCAAGGGCCCCUCCAGCUCUUACAAGCUUAGUAACUUGACUCCCUGCCCACACCAUGGCCAUCACUUUCAGAAAUCUUUCAACAGCAGCGAAGUAACCCAUUUUUGCAGGAGAUGGAGCAACAUAAAACCACACCAACAGAAAGGUUGUGAGGUAGUAUGCAGUAUUCAAAAGCCCAUAGGACAAUAUUCCAGAAAUUCCAUAUCUCUUCAGUUUCUUCAGUAUCUCGCUGGAUGUGAGUGAUUCUUGACCAUUAUUGGUUUUCUCCCUCGAACCUUCAACGUUAGAAGUAGAGAUGUCAGGAUUUGACGAACCAUAAGCGUUGCUUUCGCCGUUAACUGAGCAGAGACGUCGAGUAUGACUCCAAUGCAGCGAAGAAUUCUCCAACUUCUGCAGGUUAUAAUGCCUUGAAACGCCAGAAAUGAAGUUGCAGGGGAGGUCGUUGAAACCCAGGUGAUGCAACGAGAGGAUACAGCAGCCUGUGAUUUUCAGAGAGAAAGACG
rnacentral:misc_RNA from 1 species